GAUGAACGCUGGCGGCGUGCCUAAUACAUGCAAGUCGAGCGAACAGACGAGGAGCUUGCUCCUCUGACGUUAGCGGCGGACGGGUGAGUAACACGUGGAUAACCUACCUAUAAGACUGGGAUAACUUCGGGAAACCGGAGCUAAUACCGGAUAAUAUAUUGAACCGCAUGGUUUAAUAGUGAAAGACGGUUUUGCUGUCACUUAUAGAUGGAUCCGCGCCGCAUUAGCUAGUUGGUAAGGUAACGGCUUACCAAGGCGACGAUGCGUAGCCGACCUGAGAGGGUGAUCGGCCACACUGGAACUGAGACACGGUCCAGACUCCUACGGGAGGCAGCAGUAGGGAAUCUUCCGCAAUGGGCGAAAGCCUGACGGAGCAACGCCGCGUGAGUGAUGAAGGUCUUCGGAUCGUAAAACUCUGUUAUUAGGGAAGAACAAAUGUGUAAGUAACUAUGCACGUCUUGACAGUACCUAAUCAGAAAGCCACGGCUAACUACGUG
rnacentral:rRNA from 1 species